GACGAACGCUGGCGGCGUGCCUAAUACAUGCAAGUAGAACGCUGAAGGAGGAGCUUGCUUCUCCGGAUGAGUUGCGAACGGGUGAGUAACGCGUAGGUAACCUGCCUGGUAGCGGGGGAUAACUAUUGGAAACGAUAGUUAAUACCGCAUAACAGUAGAUAUUGCAUGAUAUCUGCUUGAAAGGUGCAAUUGCAUCACUACCAGAUGGACCUGCGUUGUAUUAGCUAGUUGGUGAGGUAACGGCUCACCAAGGCGACGAUACAUAGCCGACCUGAGAGGGGGAUCGGCCACACUGGGACUGAGACACGGCCCAGACUCCUACGGGAGGCAGCAGUAGGGAAUCUUCGGCAAUGGACGGAAGUCUGACCGAGCAACGCCGCGUGAGUGAAGAAGGUUUUCGGAUCGUAAAGCUCGGUUGUAAGAGAAGAACGAGUGUGAGAGUGGAAAGUUCACACUGUGACGGUAUCUUACCAGAAAGGGACGGCUAACUACGUG
rnacentral:rRNA from 1 species